AUGGCAUUUGUGGAGGGUGAGAACUUUCUCAGCUGGGUUUGGUUCUUCCGCCAAGUGAAAAUUGCCAUCGUGAAGGACCGACCAAACGUGUGUGUCAUUCAUGACAGACAUGCUGGUAUAUUGAAGGCCGUGAAGACACUUCGGAAUCCAGCAGAUGACGAACCAACACCUUGGAGGGACUUGCAGAGCCGGUGGUGCAUGCGCCAUCUUGGGGCUAAUUUUUUCUCACAGUUCAAGAACAAGCGGUUGAUGAACUUGUUCAAAAAAUUAUGCAAGCAGAGCCAGCAGCGGAAAUACGAAUUUAUUUGGUCAAAACUAGAUGAGUUUACUAAGAAGCAGGUCCGUGCAAGGAAGAAAAUGGAAGAAGAUCAGGUUAAAUUAGCAGCACUCAUCGCGGAGCUAGAGGAGCCAGUUCGUCUUUGUGACUUGCCAGCAAUUGACCCUCCUAAUACUAAGAGAAAGAAGGGAAGGGCAAUAAAGAAUUUUUCUGAGUGGAUAGAGAAAGAGCCUCCAAUGAAUUGGUCUUUGCUGCAUGACACACAUGGAGCUAGGUAUGGCCACAUGACAACCAAUCUUGCAGAGGUGUAUAACUUUGUGCUGAGAGGGAAUAGAGCAUUGCCACUCACGAGUUAG
rnacentral:rRNA from 1 species